CUUGAGGUAAAACAAGUACCAAAUGUUCUCUCAUGUUUUCUUUGUAGAUUGUCCUAAUAUUUCAGUAACUUUGGGUAGAAUAAUUCAUGCAAGACUUGAGAGGCGUGGGGGUGUUCAUGUUGUAUCUCCUACUUGAGUUUUAAGGCAUUUUUCUUGUUGAAGUCAACCUCAAUUUGAAGGAAACCUUGCUGUAAUAUUUCAAGAAUUACUUUUGAUAAGGAUUUGAAGCAAAGAAAGGCUAAGGUAUGUGAGUUUUAACUUCUUUCUUCAUAGGCAUUGUUAGCUCCAAUGUUUCACAUAUUGAUUUUGAUGAUACCAAACCAGCAUAACUUUUAGUAAAAUAAUAUUUACUUAUGGUAAUUUAUUUUUGUACAGGUUUGCUAAAAGAAGAAUGAUCAAAGAUGAUAUAUAGAAGAUUUGCAGAAGAGUGAAGGAGAUAUGGAAGAUGUUAUAAAGAAGGAAAGUCCAAAGCUAAUGGAUAUGGUAUAGAAGCAGCUUGGAAAAAUUAUAUUCAAAGGAUGAGAAGGAAAUAUUUUAUUAGAAGGAGAUAGCAUGAAAUAAUUUAAGAAGUAAAUAUGCUUCGUUGAUCAAAGAAUUAGUUAUGGAAAAGAUUUGUGUUAGCCCCAAGGUUCAAUCAAUUGGAAAAAGAAUCAAGAGAGUUGCAACAACAUAUUCGAGAAAGGAAAGAGAUCUAUUAAUGAUCACUUCUACAAAUUAUGCUAGAAUAGUGAAAAGUGAGAAUGAAUUCCACUACUAGACUUUGCAUGUUUGAAGACCCACUUUCACUAAUUAUCUGGAUUAGUGAAGAGUGAUAAUGAAUUUCAUCAAUAGACUUUAUAUGUUUGAAGACCCUAUUAAUUAUGUCUUUUCCAUCAAAUAUGCUUCGUUAAUCAAGGAAUUAGUUAUGGAAAAGAUCUGUAUUAGCCCCAAGGUUCAAUCAAUUGGAAAAAGAAUCAAGAGAGAUACAAUAAGAUAUUCGAGAAAGGAAAGAGAUCUAUUAAUCAUCACUUCCACAAAUUAUGCUGGAAUAGUGAAGAGUGAGAAUGAAUUUCACCGAAUGAAUUUCACUACUAGACUUUGCAUAUUUGAAGACCCACUUUCACUAAUUAUGCUGGAUUAGUGAAGAGUGAGAAUGAAUUCCACCACAAGACUUUACAUGUUUGAAUACCCCAUUAAUUAUGUCUUUUCCAAUCAAAGGAAGGCAAGGUACGAAGGAAGAUAUCAUAAGCUGCUAGGAUGUUUUGAAAGAAUCAAAAAGAGUCCAGAUUCUUUAUUAGAUGGAAGAAGCUAUUUAUGGAAUGAAAAACUAAAUCAUUCCAUAAAAGAUGCAACGACAAAAAUAUAAAAGGAAGGAGCAGCUUAUAAGGGCAAGAAUAUUUAUGACUGAAUAUUUUAUGGAAUUGGCUAUGAAGAAAUAUGAUAUUCGGAAUGAAAGUUGUAGACAAAAAUCAAUCACCGAGGCUAUUUGAGGAAGGAAAUAAAAAAAAGACUCUAUGAUUGGAGUUUGAAAUUUAAAUGGGACCUUUUAAAAGAAAAGAAUUUGUUUGACACAAGAUGUAAUGGUGCAAGUCCACUUUUGGGACACAUGGUAGCAACAAUCAAAAAUUCUAAAAGAAGACAUGCGAUGAU
rnacentral:lncRNA from 1 species